rnacentral:rRNA from 1 species
UGAACGCUGGCGGCAUGCCUUACACAUGCAAGUCGAACGGCAGCACGGGUGCUUGCACCUGGUGGCGAGUGGCGAACGGGUGAGUAAUACAUCGGAAUGUACCUUGUAGUGGGGGAUAGCUCGGCGAAAGCCGGAUUAAUACCGCAUACGCUCUGAGGAGGAAAGCGGGGGACCUUCGGGCCUCGUGCUACAAGAGCAGCCGAUGUCA